rnacentral:misc_RNA from 1 species
GAUGAAGAACGCAGCGAAAUGCGAUACUUGGUGUGAAUUGCAGAAUCCCGUGAACCAUCGAGCCUUUGAACGCAAGUUGCGCCUCAAGCCAUUAGGUUGAGGGCACGUCUGCCUGGACGUCACAUAUCGUUGCCUGAUGCCAGUUUCCUCGUGAUGGGUGACUGUGCAGGGCGAAUGAUGGCUUCCCGUGAGCAUUGUUGCCUCAUGGUUGGUUGAAAAUUGAGUCCUUGGUAGGGAGCGCCGUGAUAGAUGGUGGUUGAGUGACGAACGAGACCCAAUCAUGUGAGACCCCUACCGAAUUUGGCCUUCAUGACCCACAUGCGUCUUUGGAACGCUCAUGACGAGACCUCAGGUCAGGCGGGGCUACCCGCUGAGUUUAAGCAUAUCAAUAAGCGGAGGA